UACAGAGGUCUCAAGCGUUGUUCGGAUUCAUUGGGCGUAAAGGGUGCGUAGGCGGCGCGGUAAGUCGGGUGUGAAAUCUUGGAGCUUAACUCCGAAACUGCAUUCGAUACUGCCGUGCUUGAGGACUGGAGAGGAGACUGGAAUUUACGGUGUAGCGGUGAAAUGCGUAGAUAUCGUAAGGAAGACCAGUGGCGAAGGCGGGUCUCUGGACAGUUCCUGACGCUGAGGCGCGAAAGCGUGGGUAGCAAACAGG
rnacentral:rRNA from 1 species